GUCUACGGCCAUGCCAUCCUGAACAAACUCGAUCCCGUCUGAUCUCGGAAGCUCAGCAGGGUCGGGCCUGGUUAGUACUCGGAUGGGAGACCACCUAGGAAGACCAGGUGCUGUAGGCU
rnacentral:rRNA from 1 species